rnacentral:rRNA from 1 species
UACGUAGGGUGCGAGCGUUAAUCGGAAUUACUGGGCGUAAAGCGUGCGCAGGCGGCUUUGCAAGACAGAUGUGAAAUCCCCGGGCUCAACCUGGGAAUGGCAUUGGUGACUGCAAGGCUAGAGUACGGCAGAGGGGGAUGGAAUUCCGCGUGUAGCAGUGAAAUGCGUAGAUAUGCGGAGGAACACCAAUGGCGAAGGCAAUCCCCUGGGCCUGUACUGACGCUCAUGCACGAAAGCGUGGGGAGCAAACAGG